rnacentral:rRNA from 1 species
GGACCCGCACAAGCGGUGGAGUAUGUGGUUUAAUUCGAUGCAACGCGAAAACCUUACCAAGGUUUGAAAUCAUUCUAAAACUCUUUGAAAGAAGAGCCUCCUUCGGGAUAGAAUGACAGGUGGUGCAUGGCUGUCGUCAGCUCGUGUUGUGAAAUGUCAAGUUAAGUCUUGUAACGAGCGCAACCCAUGUCUUUUGUUGCUGUUUACAGUGCUUAAAAGAGACUGCCGCUCUACAGCGGAGGAAGGUGUGAUGAUGUCAAGUCAGCAUGCCCCUUAUAUCUUGGGCUACACACGUACUACAAUGGUAGGGACAAUGAGUCGCAAACCUGCGAAGGCUAGCCAAUCUCAAAAACCCCUAUCUC